UAAAACGACGUUAUGCAUGAACGUAAUGCUCAUAAUUUCCCUCUAGACUUAGCUGCUAUCGAAGCUCCAUCUACAAAUGGAUAAGACUUUGGUCUGAUUGUAUAGGAGUUUUUGAACUAAAAAGGGAGCAAUAGCUUUCCUCUUGUUUUAUCAAGAGGGCGUUAUUGCUCCUUUUUUUUAUUUAGUACUAUUUGCCUUACAUAGUUUCUUUAAAAUUAAAAAAAAGAAGGUCUUUUUAUAGUUUGGUUCGAUUAGCAUGUUUUCUCUUUGUAUUAAUUUAUAUUAUAAUAUUAUAGGUUUAUAUAUCCUUUUCCCAAUCUUUUAUUAAGUUUGAUUUCCAAUUCAAUUUUUAUCUAAAAUAGAUAAAAAUUUGAAUUUUGCUUAUUUAUUACUUUGAUUUCAGAAAUAAGAAAUAAAUAAUAUGCUCUUUUUUUUCAUGUUAAUGGAAAAAUAUAUUAAUACUACAUAAUACUAGAUAAUAGUAGAGGGGCGGGAUGGUAGCCAACUGGAUCAAGGCAGUGGAUUGUGAAUCCACCA
rnacentral:misc_RNA from 1 species